GGCCCCGUGCCCCCGGGGACUACGCCAGGGCUUCUCUUCAGGCCCCCCCUGGACAAGGCGCGGCGACGACGGCGACAGCGCUUCCCGGGCCCAGUUCCUCGCGACCCACCUAGGCCGCUUGGGAAGCCUUCCCCGGCCACGGGCUCCUGGAAGGGAGGUUGAAGGAACCCUCAUCUGAAGCAAGUCUGAUGAUGUCUGACGAUGACGCAAUGACAUUGAGUGUGUCUGUUACAUAGAAAUUUCUUUUCCCACAUCACCUGAAGCUGAAUUGGGCAAGACCAUCCAUCAUGUAUCACCAGAGCUUUCCUGGCUUCUGCCUCCUGGAGAUAGCACUUCUUGGGUUUGGGAAGUUUCUGUUCACCUAUCUUCAAGUUUUGUGAUGGUGGUAAGGUCUGGGGAAAGGGAGCAUUCCAUAAUCUCAGUCUUUCUGAAGG